UUUAUUGUUUAAGUAUUAAAAUAAGGUAUAUUUGAUAGUUUUUAUUUUGAUACAGGAUAAUUGUGUUGGGGUGAUUGAAAAAAUUUAUUAACUUUUUUUUAUUUUAUUCAUAUAUAAAUGAAUGGUUGAUCCAAGGAAUUUUGAUUAUAAGAUUAAGUUACCUUAGGGAUAACAGCGUUAUUUUUCUUUAGAGUUCUUAUCGAAAGAAAAGUUUGCGACCUCGAUGUUGGAUUAAAAUUGGUUAUGGGUGGAGAGAUUUGUUAACUAAGUCUGUUCGACUUAUAAAUUUUU
rnacentral:rRNA from 1 species